rnacentral:rRNA from 1 species
GACGAACGCUGGCGGCGUGCUUAACACAUGCAAGUCGAACGCAGAAGCCCGAGCUUGCUCGGGUGGAUGAGUGGCGAACGGGUGAGUAACACGUGAGCAACCUGCCCCGGACUCUGGGAUAAGCGCUGGAAACGGCGUCUAAUACUGGAUACGACCCAUACCGGCAUCGGUAGUGGGUGGAAAGACUUUGUCGGUCUGGGAGUGGGCGUCGCGGCCUAUCAGCUGGAUGGUGGGGUAAGUGGCCUACCAUGGCGACGACGGGUAGCCGGCCUGAGAGGGUGACCGGCCACACUGGGACUGAGACACGGCCCAGACUCCUACGGGAGGCAGCAGUGGGGAAGUAUUGCACAAUAGGGCGGCAAGACCUCGAUGC